rnacentral:snRNA from 1 species
GGUGAAUAGUCACAGUUUU